GAAUUCUUCUUUACGCAUUAAAGCCUAAACUUCACUCACUAAAUCACCCAAAUCCCUCCUGGAACUCAUGCAAUACAUAAAUCAUGCUAAUUAAUGAGUUAAACACAACAAGCAUUGAAACAGAUGAAUUACUCUAACAAUUAGUGAAAAAGCAUAUGGAAUUAAGAAUCAAUUCAAAUACAUGAUAGUUUACAAGGUUACAUCAUCCCCCA
rnacentral:lncRNA from 1 species